GAGAGAGGAAUGACCACUGGGGACAGAGGUGAUAAGCAAAGUAUGCGAGCUGGGAGGGUGGAGGACAGGUCCCAAACAGGACGAAUGGUCGGCUGUGUAAACAGCUCUGUUAGUCCUGAUGCAUCCCUUUGGAAUCCCAGACCUGCUUGAGGGGGUGCAGACCUGCAGGACAGGCUAGGCUGGGUUCUCGGAACUCCAGCUUUCCCAGAUGCUUGGGGCUGGCCGUUAGCCAGAGACUCAGAAUCUCCCCUCCUGGGGAGGAUCUCAGCUGCCAUCGGGGGACCCCGGGGGGUGCAACUGAAGAGCCGUGGUGACCUCUGCGGGAAAGCAGCCCCUAAAACCUGCCCAGAGAGCUUGGGUGAAAAAGUUCGGUGGGUACAAGUCAGCCUCUGGCUGACUAGCCUGAAACCAAGGUCUCAGCCAUCACCGCCUGUGUUCUCCUCUGACGCCCAGGAACCACUUCCGAAGUCUUCUAAGUUGUUGGGGCUGUUAGCCACCUAACUCAGACAGUGGGUGUCCCUGUCUCAACUAACCCAUGAAGCUUGGUCAGCCCUUCUGGGAUAAUAGCCAGAACCUUCACACUGGAUGACAUAGGACAAAAGUGAAUUCAUGUCUUCCAGCCACACCAAUCACUCCCAUUCUCCUUCCCUCAUCUGCCCCUGAAUAUUCCAUCUUGGAGGGGCCCCUGUGGUGAGUCAUUAACACAAACCUCAAAAUGUAUUUCCCUUGGGCCUUUCAGUCC